CUGGCUACGACCACAACACUGGAAGUAGGUCCUAUAAACCAGCUCCAUUCUACAGCUAAGAAUACAAUGAAUUAGGGAAGUUACAGCACUCAGGCAAGGUCACCCAGCCAGACCCACUGUAGUAAACCAUACUUCCUCUCAUUAAAUCUCAUUUACUAACAUGUUUUCGUAAAAAGUAACAGCCUGGGGUCCAGGUUGGGAGAAUAAGGGGGUAUGAAUUUCAAAAGGACACAAGGAAACUUUUGGGGAUAAUAUAUAUGUUCAUUGUCUUGAUUGUGGUGAUCUUUUCGUGGGUAUAUACAUAUGUCAAAACUCAUUAAAUUAUGCAUUUUAAAUAUGUGAAGCCUAUAUCAUGUUAAUAAAACUAUUUUUAAAAGUUUAAGGCUGGUGCUGUGGUACAUGCCUGUAAUCCCAACACUUCAGGAGGCCUAGGCUAGAAGACUGCUUGAGGCCAGUAGUUUGAGACCAGCAGGGCAACAUAGUGAGAUCCUGUCUCUAUUUAAAAAUAAUAAUAAAUAAUAAUUAAAAAAUAAUAAUAGACCAGGCACAGUGGCUCACGCCUGUAAUCCCAGCACUUUGGGAGGCCAAGGUGGGUGGAUCACCUGAGGUCAGGAGUUUGAGACCAGCCUGACCAACAUGGAGAAACCCUGUCUCUACUAAAAAUACAAAAUUAGCCAAGUGUGGUAGUGCAUGCCUGUAAUCCCAGCUACUCGGGAGGCUGAGGCAGGAGAACCGCUUGAACCCAGGAGGCGAAGGUUGCAGUGAGCCAAGAUUGCACCACUGCACUCCAGCCUGGGCAACAAGAGCAAAACUCCGUCUUAGAAAAAAAAAAGGAAGAAAGAAAGAAAAAGCAUAUAGAAAAAGGGGUGGGGAGAGGAUGGACUCUUGUUUACUUGAGGAAACUAAUCACUCACGUGGCAUUUUCAUGGCUAGAUCAAGACUUUCUUGGCUGGUCUUCCUUUUUGAAAGCUGCAAAAUGGAAAAUCCCAAGACUCAUAAUUAACCAGUACGCUAGUUAAUGUUUUACUUUUCUCGGGAAAAGGGAAAAAUCCUAACGUUCAUUCAAUAGCUACUCUUUGCAAGGUGCUUUAGGUAUACUGUGUCAUCUAAAUUUGUGAAGCAAAUAUUACUGCCAUUUUACAGAUGACCAGACCAAGGCAGACUGGGGUCACUAAGAAAUUUGCCAAAGUCAUGCAAGAGGUAAGUACCCAAUCAGGAGUGAAAUCUAGGUCUUCCUAACUCAAAAGACCUCUCUUUCACUAAGCCAUGCUCCUUCGAUGGCAUAAAUAUUAACUUACAUUAAAAUUAAACAAUGAAACUCAUAUCUUCUUAACAUACUUACAAUUUUAAGAGUAUGUGUUUGUGUGUAUUAAUGAGACAAAAAAGAAAGAUGUGACUCAAAUCCAUUUAAACCAUGUUUUUAAAAUAUCACUUUUAAAGAAGACACAGUAAUACUUUUCUUCCAACUGAAGGUACAUUUUCACCAUCUUAGAAAACUUUACUACCUAUACUGUAAUCUGCAACUCAGAUUUUUUAAAUUAAAAAAUAACAUUUUUCUUUUUCACAUUUGUUAUAUGUGAACACUGAAUAAAGAUACAUGUGUUACCAAAAUAACUCCAAUUCAAUUAAUUAUUGAUGCCAAUGUUUGAUAUUUUUGCCAUGUGUAUUAAGAGUAUAAGAUCUAUCAAAAUGGCUUAGUAUUUUUAAACUCCUUGAUUAUAAGAGAAAAUGCUCUUAAUAUGUGGAAAAUGCAGAAAAAUAUAAAUAGUUGCCAUCAUUAUAUCAACAUGCAGAUAUUAUAACCACUGUUAACAUUAUGAUCUGUACUUGUAGUUCUAUUUUAUGAAUGGUUGCAAUCAGAGUAUUCAUAUUUUCUAGUUUUAUAAAAAAAUUGUAUAUGGUGACAUUUUCAGUCAUCCCUACGACUCUACGAGACACAAGGUUUAAAAAUGAAACAAAUAGGGCCAGGCACAGUGGCUCAUGCCUGUAAUCCCAGCACUUUGGGAAGCCGGGGCGGGUGGAUCACCUGAGGUCAGCAGUUCAAGACCAGCCUGGCCAAACAUGGUGAAACCCCAUCUCUACUAAAAAUACAAAAAAAAUUAGCCAGGCGUGGUG
rnacentral:lncRNA from 1 species